rnacentral:rRNA from 1 species
GGAUGAACGCUAGCUACAGGCUUAACACAUGCAAGUCGAGGGAAACGAUAGAGAAAGCUUGCUUUUCUAGGCGUCGACCGGCGCACGGGUGAGUAACGCGUAUCCAACCUGCCCACCACUUGGGGAUAACCUUGCGAAAGUAAGACUAAUACCCAAUGACGUCUCUAGAAGACAUCUGAAAGAGAUUAAAGAUUUAUCGGUGAUGGAUGGGGAUGCGUCUGAUUAGCUUGUUGGCGGGGUAACGGCCCACCAAGGCGACGAUCAGUAGGGGUUCUGAGAGGAAGGUCCCCCCACAUUGGAACUGAGACACGGUCCAAACUCCUACGGGAGGCAGCAGUGAGGAAUAUUGGUCAAUGGACGAGAGUCUGAACCAGCCAAGUAGCGUGCAGGAUGACGGCCCUAUGGGUUGUAAACUGCUUUUAUAAGGGAAUAAAGUGAGUCUCGUGAGACUUUUUGCAUGUACCUUAUGAAUAAGGACCGGCUAAUUCCGUG